ensembl:lncRNA
GUCAGCUGGAACCAAGCAUUACCUGAGGCUCAGGGGUCUUUCAGGCUCACUGGUUGGUGGCGGAAUUUGGUUCCUAGAAACUGCUCCAAGCCAGUUUGCAGCAUGACUCUUGCUUUCUUCCAGGAGACCCACAGGAAAUCCACUCUCUUGUAAGAGGUUCGCUCGUUAUGUCAGGCCCUUCCAGAAUAAUCUCCCUUUUGCUUCAAGUCAGUGGAUUGACCCAAGUCAAUGGAUUAGUAAUCUAAUAGUGGACGUGGUGUCCCAUGGCUCUGCCCAUGCCCAAGGGAGGGGGAUUAUCCAGUGGUGCAGACUGGCGGGGGUAUCUGGGAAUUCUGCCAGCACAGGAGUGAUGACAGCUGUGCGUCUCUGUCAUUUGAAUGAACUAAAGUCCAGAGGACUUGUGUGAGGUUCUUGAAGUCUGGCCUAGACUCUCCAGUUUGCAGCUUCAGGGACAGAAAGAAAAGGCAGUGGAAUGCUUUCAUUUAGCAGGAGGAGAAAACCUAGAAACUAGAAAAUGAGUAUCUGUGACACUGACCAGAGGAAAAAAGAUUGUGGACCCAAGAAGACCGAGUCUAAAGAAAACUCUCAGGAGAUAUGAACUUCUGGCUCUACCACUAACUACUGAUGCUGUUGGAAGAAGACAUUUAACCUUUUUGAACAUCACCAGUUUCUUGUCUCUGUAGAAGGAUGGGAUUGAUUGCUCUUAUAAAUCCACAUUGCAGGUUAUUUGAACUAUAAUGGAUGGUGAUUCUAAAGGAAAUUAUCAUAUUCUGCUUCUUAACUUUGAGUUCAAUUGUGGUGGAAAAAUUAUUCUGUCUUUGAACAUAAUUUAACUUCUGAAAGCAUGCAUGAAAGGAUAACUCCAGAAAGAACAGAGAAGCUGACAGCGGCUUGACUUAUUCUGGAGGAAACGAAGUGAGAGAAAUGGCAGAAGCCAGGGCUGGUCUCUAUGGUGUGACACAGACUCCAGACAGACGGGCUUGGCUGGACAGUGUGAGCAAGGAUUCUGGAGACUGUAUGUGCUUUUCAGACAACCCACAGGCCUACACGAAAUAUCACAAGCCAGCUGCCUCUGCAGGUUCCUACUCAGAGGAAAGAAAGCAGACCAUUGUCAGCGCGAGGGAGCUGAGGAAUGAGCAGCAGCUGCUCAGGACUCUGCAGCAGGCUCCAGCCCCACGCGGAGGCCACUGCCUACUUCAAGGGUGGCACCAGCACCCUCCACUCUGCCCUAGACUCCUCCAGGUGCCAGGCAAGGUCACCUGGAAGAUACAGCAUGCCUCCCGCCAUCCAAGCCAGUGUGGAUAGCCAGGCAUCGAACUUGGGUCCUUGUGCUUGUGAGCCAGGCGGUGGAACCACUGAGCUAAAUCCCUGGUGGUAUUUUGCUAUUAUGAAUGAUGGUAUGAUACUUAUACACUCAUCUGUUUAUAUUUCUGCAGGAUAAAAUUCUACAAGUAGAAUUGUUGACUGCAUCCCUUUUAUUUCUUAGUUAAAAAAUUUAUUAGCCCACAUUUGGAAUACAUAGUGACUCCAUUCAUCGUGGGGUAUCGGUGCAUGCACAUAACACAUGUUAAUUCUUUUGACUUUUUCCCUUCCCUUCCUCUCCCCCCCCUUUUUCUCUAGAGACCGCAUUCCUUUUAAAGUUUUUGAUUGGUAGAGACAAGUUUUCCUUCAGUGAGAGAAUAUCAGUUUGUGUUCUAACCAACUGAGUGUUAUGUUCAUUUCCGCAUUAGUGUUUUUAAAACUAAUUGCAAAAGAAAAUCAAAUGAACUUUGGAAGAAGCAAUAUAUCAAUGAAGAAAAUAAGAACAACACAAGAGAAAUAAUGCUUUAGUUUCCCCCCGGACUCAUCCAACUGUAGUCUGUUUCCUCUCUCCCUCUCUCUCUCUCUCUUCUCUCUCUUCUCUCUCUCUUUCUCCUUUGACCAAGUGAGGAAUACUGUGGUAGAGUUGGUCACCAAACCUAUAGCUUUUCCUGUGCAUCCAGACAGACUACAUCUCCCAGGCUCCCUUGAGGUCAAGGGUGAACAUCAGUUCUGGCCAACAGAACAUGGGCGGAAAUGAUACAUGCUAUGUCUAAACCUGGCCCAGAUGCUCCUCUUCCUGUGCAUCUCCUGGACCCUGAGGAACCAGGAGAAGACUCAAAGGCCCAGGGAAUGAAUGGUGCAGAGGAAGAAGGAGCCCAGGUCCUGAGUCACCUCACACAAGGCCACUCAGCUAUUACUCAUGCAAUUCAUAUUGUGUUAAACCAUGGAGAUUGUAGAAAAGCUAUAAACUUCAGAUAAACAAAAGAAAAAAAUUACUCAGAAUCCUAAAAACCAGAGAUAACUGUUCGAAACAUUAGCCUAUCCUCGUAAAUUGAGGCCUACUGCUUUUUAAAGUCAGCUACAACUGGAAUUAGUAGUUAAAAAUAAGGGUUUGGUAUGAUUUUCUUUUUCACAAUCAUCUUCCUCUUUCUUGAAUACUUGUUAUGUGUUUUCAUUUUUUCUGAAUACCUAUUAUGAAAAAUAAGCUAUAAUGUAUGCAUUAUUUAUUUGUGUGUAUGAAACUUCAUUCAUGUGUAAGGUAUAUUUCUCCCUACAUACAUCUCACUCUCAAAUAUCCAUGUGACUGAUAUGGAAAAUUGGUAUAUAUAAAUAACGUAGGCCAUGUAGAUUUCAUUUUGAAUAGUCUCAGCUUGGGGACUGAUACACACCUAGGCUUCCAGGAGACGCAGUGGCACUCACCAAUCAUCUGUCCCAUCCCUUGCCCACUCAUCAGCUCCCUUUGAGUCAGGAAAACCAUGUGACUAGCUCUGGCCAAUGGAAAGAGACUAGAAGCAACACAUGCUACCUAUGAGCAGAAGGGUCAAAAAGCCCACAUGCAAUUUCUCUGUUUCUCUUCCUGCUGCAGUGACAGGGACCUGGUGUAGUCAGGGACAGCAGAGUCUCCAGUAUCCCAGGUCCCCAAGCACACCCCUUCCCCUCCAAGGAUGGGCAUUUGGCAUGAGCAAGAACUAAAGCUUUCUUGUGUUAAGACAGCAGGAUUUCUGAUUAAUGGGGUAAUGCAGCCCAAGCCUACCCUGCCCUGAUAGCAUAAGGCUCACACUGUUCCCCGUCCACAUCAAGAGCUCCAAGAGAGCAGGCUCACUGCUACCAUUAGUCAUUCACAGCCCAGUUAAGUGGGCUUUGACUUCCUAGCGAUGACGGAAACACUGAAUUGAAGAAUAAGGGCUUUAUAAGACAGGUGAGCGUUCUUCUAGUGACAGUAGGAGUGACUUCACUAUAAUGCAUAAGAAGCAGAUGCAGCUUUCUGGAUUUUCCCAGGUGCAAAGUAGCUUAUGAAAUACAUUUAUUACGGUACAUGAAAACUAUUAAUAGUGUCUACAUAUAAGGGUAGAAACAAAAGAGAGUGAAUCUGAUCUCUUGGCUUGCUGAGCAUAUUUUCCACCUAAUAAUAAUGAAAAGGGAUGUAUGGCAAGGAGUGGAGAAGUCAGUUGGCAGAGAGGGAACAUGAACUGAAGUCCAGCUCCUUUGUCCCUUUUGUGUCUGUUUCAGUCUGGCUGUUGAAUAUCUUCCAAAGGUUCAUGUAUGAAAGUUUGAUCCCUAGAAUGGCACAUUGGGAAGUUCUGUGGCUCUUAAAGAGGUGGAAGUGUCCCCUCAAAGGGAAGUGGGACCCCAGUUCUGUGUGUAUGUGUGUACAUGCGCUUGGUUUAAAAUGUGACCUAUAGGGUCGGGGAUUUAGCUCAGUGGUUUUGCCGCCUGCCUAGCAAGCUCAAGGACCCAAGUUUGAUUCCCCGGUACCCUCCCCCCAGAUAAAAUAAAAUAAAAUAAAAUAAAAUAAAAUAAAACGUGACCUACAGAGAGAUUCUUUAGCUCAGUCUUGAAGGUUCAAAGUCUGAGAUCGGGCAGGUUAGGGGAGGAUUGCCUUGUCCCCUGUGAUGACAGUGGUGGUGAUGCAUCAUGGUGUCAUAUGCUUUGUUAGAGUGACAGAAGGCUGACAAACAGCAUCUGAUAUCUUUAAGUUAACUUUUAUGAAAUCAGUCAAUGAUACUUUUCUAUAGUGUCCAAUUUCUUUAUCAUGAUCACAUGUUAUUUUUAUAAUUAGAAAAUAGUAUUUCUAAUUUGGAAAAUAAACUAUUGGUUUUUUAAUAAUUGCUGCCUCCAUUGACACCUAAAGAAUCACACCUACAACAGAGUCUAUCAGCUUCCUUAACAGUUUAAUUCAAGGGCUGAGUUCGUUAGGGGAAGGUUUAACAUCGUGAUUCUAGAAGCAAGCAUAGCAGCAUCGCACAUCUGAGGGGCUCAUCCACAUCUGC